GAUAACUCAGUUGGUGGAGCAUGAGACUCUUAAUAUCAGGGUCAUGGGUUCGAGCCCCAUGUUUAUCA